rnacentral:rRNA from 1 species
CCUACGGGGGGCUGCAGUGAGGAAUAUUGGUCAAUGGACGCGAGUCUGAACCAGCCAAGUCGCGUGAAGGAUGACUGCCCUAUGGGUUGUAAACUUCUUUUAUAAAGGAAUAAAACGAGGCACGUGUGCCUUUUUGCAUGUACUUUAUGAAUAAGGAUCGGCUAACUCCGUGCCAGCAGCCGCGGUAAUACGGAGGAUCCGAGCGUUAUCCGGAUUUAUUGGGUUUAAAGGGAGCGUAGAUGGGUUGUUAAGUCAGUUGUGAAAGUUUGCGGCUCAACCGUAAAAUUGCAAUUGAUACUGGCAGUCUUGAGUACAGUUGAGGUAGGCGGAAUUCGUGGUGUAGCGGUGAAAUGCUUAGAUAUCACGAAGAACCCCGAUUGCGAAGGCAGCUUACUAAACUGUGACUGACAUUGAUGCUCGAAAGUGUGGGUAGCAAACAGGAUUAGAUACCCGAGUAGUC